rnacentral:tRNA from 1 species
ACUUUUUUAGUAUAAUUAAUAUAUUUGACUUCCAAUCAAAAGAUCUUAUUUUAAGAAAAAGUA